rnacentral:rRNA from 1 species
AUGAACGCUGGCGGCGCGCCUAAUACAUGCAAGUCGAGCGAGAAGACGUAGCAAUACGUUUGUAAAGCGGCGAACGGGUGAGGAAUACAUGGGUAACCUACCCUCGAGUGGGGAAUAACUAGCCGAAAGGUUAGCUAAUACCGCGUACGCUUCUUGGACUUCGGUUCAGGGAGGAAAGCGAUACCGUGGGUAUCGCGCUCUUGGAUGGGCUCAUGUCCUAUCAGCUUGUUGGUGAGGUAACGGCUCACCAAGGCUUCGACGGGUAGCUGGUCUGAGAGGACGAUCAGCCACACUGGCACUGCGACACGGGCCAGACUCCUACGGGAGGCAGCAGUAAGGAAUAUUGCGCAAUGGGCGAAAGCCUGACGCAGCGACGCCGCGUGGGGGAUGAAGGUCUUCGGAUUGUAAACCCCUUUCGGGAGGGAAGAUGGAAUGGGGUAACCCAUUUGGACGGUACCUCCAGAAGCAGCCACGGCUAACUUCGUGGCAGCAGCCGCGGUAAUACUAAGGUGGCAAGCGUUAUUCGGAUUUACUGGGCGUACAGGGAGCGUAGGCGGUUCGGUAAGCCCUUUGUGAAAUCUUCUCGCUUAACCUGGAAAAGUCGGAGGGGACUGCCGGGAUAGAGGACGGGAGAGGAGCGCGGAAUUCCCUGUGUAGCGGUGAAAUGCGUAUAGAUCGUGAAGGAAUGGCCGGUGGCGAAAGCGGCGCUCUCUAACGUUUCUGACGCUCAUGCUCUACAGCGUGGGUAGCAAACAUGAAUAGAUACUCUGGCAGUCCUCCGCCUUCAACUAUGAAGUACUAAGUGUCGGCGGGGAUUACUCCUUCUGCGCAGCUAACGAAUCAAAUAUCUAGCUAGGUAAGUAGCCGCGUGCAGGUCGAACAUCAUAUGAGAUGCUCCGAGCA